UACGUAGGGGGCAAGCGUUGUUCGGAAUUACUGGGCGUAAAGCGCGCGUAGGCGGUUUGAAAAGUCAGAUGUGAAAGCCCCGGGCUCAACUUGGGAACUGCAUUUGAUACUGUCAGACUAGAGUACAGAAGAGGUGACUGGAAUUCCCAGUGUAGCGGUGAAAUGCGUAGAUAUUGGGAGGAACACCAGAUGCGAAGGCGGGUCACUGGGCUGAUACUGACGCUGAAAAGCGAAAGCGUGGGGAGCGAACAGG
rnacentral:rRNA from 1 species